rnacentral:rRNA from 1 species
UACGGAGGAUUCUAGCGUUGUCCGGAUUUAUUGGGUUUAAAGGGUGCGUAGGCGGAUUACUAAGUCAGAGGUGAAAGCCGGCAGCUUAACUGUCGAAUUGCCUUUGAAACUGGUAGUCUUGAAUACUGUUGAGGUGGGCGGAAUGUAUCAUGUAGCGGUGAAAUGCUUAGAUAUGAUACAGAACACCGAUUGCGAAGGCAGCUCACUAAGCAGUUAUUGACGCUGAGGCACGAAAGCGUGGGGAUCAAACAGG